GAUGAACGCUGGCGGCGUGCCUAACACAUGCAAGUCGAACGGAGCUGCUUUGAUGAAGUUUUCGGAUGGAUUUAAAACAGCUUAGUGGCGGACGGGUGAGUAACGCGUGGGUAACCUGCCUCACACUGGGGGAUAACAGUUAGAAAUAGCUGCUAAUACCGCAUAAGCGCACAGUUCCGCAUGGAACAGUGUGAAAAAACUCCGGUGGUGUGAGAUGGACCCGCGUCUGAUUAGCCAGUUGCGGGGUAACGGCCCACCAAAGCGACGAUCAGUAGCCGGCCUGAGAGGGUGAACGGCCACAUUGGGACUGAGACACGGCCCAAACUCCUACGGGAGGCAGCAGUGGGGAAUAUUGCACAAUGGGGGAAACCCUGAUGCAGCGACGCCGCGUGAGUGAAGAAGUAUUUCGGUAUGUAAAGCUCUAUCAGCAGGGAAGAAAGUGACGGUACCUGAAUAAGAAGCCCCGGCUAACUACGUG
rnacentral:rRNA from 1 species